UCGCUUGCCUAGCACACGUGAGGCACUGGGGUUUGAUCCAAAAAAAACCCAAACCUUUAACCUUCUUGCAUACAUUAUUAAGAAUGUUUUGACAGAAACAGUGGAACAUGCAGCAAAUUGGGAGACUAAAGCAGGAGUAUCACAAAUUUGAUUCCUGCCUCAGCACAUAGCCUGACCCCUAGCAUUUAAACUCUCUCAAAAUAAAAAAAUUACCACUUGAUUCAGUGGUAAUAUACCCCUGGGUUCAAUCUUCAGUAUCCCCCCAAAAAUAUAUAUAUAUGUAUGUAUAGUAUAUAUUAUAUUUUUUUAAUAUAUGUUUCAAAGGGAUAAGAGUUAAAUAUGCUUAGAAGUAUAUCCAAACAUACUGGAUAUAAGAAUUAAACAAUUUCUUCAUUUUACCUGGUUACCUGGUUUAGCCAAUUUUAUUUGGUUAUCUAGGAUGACUCUGUGGCAGAAUACAUUAUAUAAUCUAGAGCAAAUUAAUACAGAAAUUAUAAUGUACAUUGUCAUUUGAAAUUAGCACCAUAUCUCCAAUAUUGAAGCCAAGGGGAAAAUCUGAAUAAAUCCUCCACUUUCAUUUACUUUCAGUUACUUGCUUUUACCACCAAUCUUAAGGGGUCACAUACCCAUAGUUUUACUAUAGAUAACACCUCUGAAAUAUGGGUAAUGAAGGUAACAAUCACCUGAUACAUUUUUCAGGACCUUGAAGGCUGCAAAAGUCUAUCUCAACCCAAAUGAAACCACUGACCCUUUGUUUGGGUCUGUGCAGGUAAAUAUAUGAUGGGUGAUCUCUUUACAUUAGAGGGCUGAAAACUCCACCAUGCUAACACCACCAUUCUCUGAACAAGAUUCCUAUGAAUAGCCACGAAGUUUGAUUAUGCAUGCACAGACCACCGAUUUCUUUGCUUCCUGUGUUAGUCAGCUUUUUGUCACUGUGACUAAAAUAUCUGACAAGGACAAUUUAAAGGAAGAAAAGUUUAUUUUGGGUUUAUGAUUUUAGAGGUUUCAGUUCAUGUUCAGUGAUCCCAUUAUUGUGGACCCAAGAUGAGGAAGAAAUAAUGGAAGAAGAGCAUGGUGGAAGAAAGCUGUUAGUUCAUGGCAGAGAAGAAAGAGAAAGAGGUGGAGGA
rnacentral:lncRNA from 1 species